rnacentral:rRNA from 1 species
UACGAAGGGGGCUAGCGUUGUUCGGAAUCACUGGGCGUAAAGCGCACGUAGGCGGAUCUUUAAGUCAGGGGUGAAAGCCCAGAGCUCAACUCUGGAAUUGCCUUUGAGACUGAGUGGCUUGAGUACGAGAGAGGUGAGUGGAACUGCGAGUGUAGAGGUGAAAUUCGUAGAUAUUCGCAAGAACACCAGUGGCGAAGGCGGCUCACUGGCCCGAUACUGACGCUGAGGCACGAAAGCGUGGGGAGCAAACAGG